CUUGGCUAUACAAUAUUUUCAUACCCCCCCGCCCCCAACGUCUCUCUAUCUUCUUCAACGCAAAUUGUCAUGUCUCCUUAAAUGAAGCAGAUCUCUUCUAAUCUACUUGAAGCUUCUAAUUCUUGUUUCGCUCCGAUUUUCCCACCGAGAUUUGCCCGAAUUUCUCUUCUGAUCUCAGUUUUAUCCACUUCUGAUCUACGCAAAUUCACUUGGCUCUUUCUAAACCUUUUGUCAGCUUGAUAUUCACGAUCGAUCAAAUGCUGCUUUCUUCACAAAGAUAUUUAGAGUAGCAACGGAGUUGGAUUGGAAGCGAGAUGCUUUUCGCUUUUAGUUGUAGUCUGCUGCAGUUUUAGGGGACAAAAGUUUGGCAUCAAAGACUGAUAAAGUAAUUGAUAGCUCACAAAGUACUUGUAUGGACGAAAUUAUACCCCAACUUUGUAGCACUUGCUGGUGUAUCAUAGUUUUGUUGCUGUGGCUGGCUAAGCUGGAGAUGGACAGGUACAUGUGAUUCCUCUCCCAUGCCCAGACCAUUUGUGAGAAGGGAAUUCCUGUUUGCUCCAUUUACUUCUCUGGUUCCAUAAACCUGGGAUGUGAAAAUAUGCUGAUGAGGGUGGAAUAAAACACCUUACAAUUUCAUUCAGGACUAAGGUUUGCCUUCUUAUAGAGUUCCAUAUUUUCUUGGUGAAUGAGGUUUCCCUGCAACAGAUACAUCAAGUUCAGCUACUUGAAUUAAAAAACUUAUGUAAAGGAAGUUAGUAGCUUUUGUCUACAGGCCUACCUUUCUAUUUAGUUCUAGUAUUUCAUCCAUUAAAAUUUGGUCCUGAUGAAAUCAAUAUCAGUAUCAGUGAGAUGAAUGUGCUCCACAUCUUGGAAAUUUACUGCACACUGGGGUUUUAGGAAUUUCAAACCUUUUUCAUGCGAACACCCCGGAGACUCAUUUCCAACUGGUUCUCCAAAUUCUGCAAAUCCUUUACGCUUAAACCAGAAAGUUCUUCACCCAUCAUUUGCCUGCUAUCAUCAUAUGGAAAUGUAAACUUUGCUAGCUAGGCAUAUAGUGAAAAGCAAUAAUUCAUUUCAUCCUCUUACAGUAUUCAGUUUCUGAAGGAUUUUUCAAUAGCAUUAAGCUGUUGCGGAUGCUUCCUUUUUGUUCAGAUGCAAAUCUUUUCCUCUCAUGGUUAUUUUUCUUGUUUAGUUCUACUAUGAGAAAACAGUUGGUCCUUUCCUCACUUGUGCGGGUCUAUUCAUGUUUCCUUAGUUUUCCAUUGUUUGUACAUAAAAUAAAUAUUCUAGUUGUUUAGUUAAUCUUCGAAAGACAUUAUGGAAAUUACUUGCUCUAGUUUUAAAAGUUGCAGAUAGUUUAUUGAAAUUGUUUAAUUGGCUUAAAAGUCAUUGGUUUAACACUGAUAAAAUUUCUGGGGGUCCUAAACAAGACCAGCACUACUUGAAUAUGUUUAGGAGAGGAUGUGUGGCUGAUGCCUUCAUGUGCCCCCCUUUGCUCCUGAUGCACAAUGUUGACAUUCUUUUCAGGUGACUGAGAUGAACUUUUUCAGUGUGACACAAGUGAAUCUUUUUUGUGACUAAAUUGUCACGUGGACACUAGUGAUACCUGCAAGCAUCUGACCUUAAAUAAUAGCAUGCUCCAUCAGAAGUUUCAGUUUUUCAUAUUCAACCUUAAAUAAUAGCAUGCGCCAUCAGAAGUUUCAGUUUUUCAUGUUUAGUCUGUUGCAAUUACUCUGAUGUCACUCGUUAUGUUCAUAUAUCUCAUAUAAAACAACAUUGGUCAAAGGGAAUGGAUCAUACCGAUGAUUUUCUUGCAAGUUUUGCAGUUGCAGUCUCAACAUUGCUGUCUCCCUUUGCCAGAACUAGCAAAUGUAAUGCGCAAUUUAGUGGAAUUGCUAACUUUUGUGGUCAACAUGCACACACCAAAAUGAAGAGUAAUUGGCUUCUAUUGUUAUGAAAACACAUCUGAAGAGAAAUAGAUAAAAAAAACAUCUAUCUGUUUCAAGGCUGAGAAGCCACUCUCUGAUCUCCAUGUAAUGGUUAUGAUUUAUUACACCAUGUUUUUUCUUUUCUGUGUCUGAUGACCUCCCCCUCUCUGAUAUCCAUGUAGCUCUCCCCCAAUUUUUCUCUCUAAAACUAGGAAGUGUUUUUUUUUUUGUUUAGUAUCUUCACACAAAUGUGCUUCAAGAUGUCAUCUAUUGUUCUUGCUACUGAUAAAAUGUCUUGUGAGUUCUAUCGUCAUGCAAAUGGUCCCAAUCCCGGAUAAAGGACAGAAAUGGUCCCAAUCCUGGAUAAAGGACAGUUGCAGUUAGCAGAGGUCCAGUGUAAGAUAUGUAGCUACACCUUAUAACUUGAAUCAAUCAAUAAGGCUUGGCUGUGUUGAGUUCAUGUGCUUUAUGAUAAUUUUUGACAUAAUACUAUUUAUCUAUUCAGGUGGUUAUAUUUAUUUAAUCAGUUGUUUCAUGCUUUGCCUAAGCCUGAAUACAUGAAUGUUGUCAUAUAAUGUGUGUUUAUCCUGCUAAUUUAUAACAGAUAAUACAAGGCUGAUUUCCUGUCAAUAGUUUGAAGCUUAAUGAAGUACUCUUCAUUGGUAUGAACUGAACUUCAAUAUUAGUUGAUUUUGCUGCACGAUUUUGGCAUUUCAUUUUCCUGUUGCUUUUAACUUGGAGGAUAUCUAUAGUAGACAGUACAUUCAUGCAGCGAACACCAGGCAUUCCCAUUGUCAUUGUCUUUUUUUUUUUUUUUUUGUAUUUAUCAUGUGCUAAAAUAUCAGAAUCCAGUUGAGAAAUAUAAUUGGUUUCUGUUCGUCAUCCCUAAGUCAUUCUGGACUCAAAAAAUUGAUAUGUUAUUUCCUUCAGCAAUAGUAGAACUGGGAACUAUACUGGUUUUGUAAUUUGCGACAAUUUUUUAUGUUCAUGUUCAAAUGGCUCUUUGCCUCUUUGCAAUCAUAUCAAAGGCCAUGUCCUAGAUGUGACACAUCUUAUCUGUAGUCUGUACAACUGUAUCUUCAGUUCCAUUCUUUAUAGCCUCAUUAUGCCUGAUACUUUCUUUAGUUAGAUGGCCCAUGUUAGUUAACAUAUACUACAGAUAAAUUACCAGAAACAUUAAGAUUUUCUUACUUUAUUAACUCCUUUUGUGAAACAAAAUAUCUCAACCCUUGGAUGUCAUAAUGCUAUGUUUGUAAGUAUAGCUCGCACUUUAGGUGCAGACUUUUAGCUGAAAUACAAAAUUGUUAAAUACAGUAUCUUUUAUUGUAAACAAAAAAGAAAAGAAAAGAGCUGUAUUUGUUGCUCAUGUUGGUAAUAGCAUUGUUUAAAGUAGCAAAAGCAAAGUUCAACAUGAUGAUUGUAUUUGAAGCUAUCUUUGAUGAAAAUGCAAUGUUGAAAAACUAGAGAUGUGUAAGCUGUUUCUCUGAAGUAAAAGUAGUCAAUCAAAAUCUACAUAUUCUUUUUAAUGCAUACCCAAAUUUUAUGUAUAAAUGUGGCAAAAAUCAGGCAAAUCAAAUUUUGUUAGAAGUCAUAAAAUCUAAAUUCACUGGGUACUGAAAUACCUUGAGUUCUGAGGUUGGGUUGCCCAUUAGAUGAUGCACCUCUUUUGAUUUGUUGUAUCGUUCAAUGACUGAUUUCAUGCUGCAAGAGCAGAUUUAUAUUGCAUCAGGGAUGGGUGCCGUGUUCUAUGUGAAUGCUUUCUAAUAACAUUUAAGAACAAAAUGUAUGGAAUCACCGCAAGGAUAAUUUCUCGACGAAGCAGAAUGGACACAUUUAAACUAUAUCAUUCAUGUGUGGAAGAAGUCAUUCGAGUUGUCCUGGCUAUAGGAGUUUGAGCUACCAGUGGAAUAUCCAUAAAGAAAAUCUAGUCUGCAAGUGGAUAGCAAUUGGAGCACCAUCUCAAGAUAAGUUUCCAAUCCUUGUUUUAUUUGAUGCUGGUUUUGAUGUUGAUAGAUCUCGCGUCAGUUUUAACCAUUCUUUCUUUUAUGGGGUGGAAAAGGGAAGCUCACUUCCUAUUGUACUCUCUUCCCUCUUCAUUAUUUUUCUUCGUCUGACACUGUCAAGAAUUGUGUACCGAUGAAAUGUGUAUAACAAACUACUUGCAAUCAUUUAUUGUAUGAUUGUGCAGAAAGCAUAGACUUGCUAUGUUUGGAAAUUUUAUAAUAUGAAUUGUAAUAUUUUGCAUUUUAAUUAGGUGAAAAUCCAUAAUUUUAUGGUUUUGUCUUCAGUACUUGGAAAAGCUGCUGCGGCAUCUUUAGGAGUUUAAAUUAUGUGGAUUGUUGGUUCAAUAAAAUUUAUAAGGCCUAUGUGUGAAAUUUAGGGCUAGACCAUGUGUGAGAUUUAGGGCUAGACCAAGGCAAUUCUAAGGAGAGAUGAAAGAAGGAAAUAUCUGUUGGAAAAUGGCAAGUAACUGACAUCUGAAAAUGCGCAACUAAGAUGUUCUUACACUCAUUAGCAGCAGAUAGACUCCCAAGUUUUCAACUUCUUGAAUUGUUGACUCUCCAUUCACAGGAAGAAGGGACACCUUCCAAACUACUUAAUAAUGAACAGCUUUCACUCCUCUGUGCGGAUGCAUAAGGCUGUGGAUUUUUGCUGCUUCCAUAGUAAAAUAGCAAUAUUUGAAUACUGCUAAAGAUUAUUCGUGAGCUAUAUCCAAAUUCGUAAAAUGAAGCUUUGUUCUUAAAUGCUGCAUAUCUGGAGCUUCAUUUAGAGUACUUAUCCCUUCCUGACAAUUUUGUAGCUAUAUGUUGUGAAAACGAAAUUAUCUGAGUUCUGUAUAUUGCUUCCCCUUUACAUUUCUUCAUUAGGGUGAUUGAGAUCUUACAAAAACCUUGUGGUCAACCUCUCUAAUACACUUUCCAGCAAUCUGAAGUUUUUGGUGUUGAUAAACCACUCUAUAUGAGACUGACAUGAUUUUCUACCAGAUCUUAACAGUUUCAAGUAGAGCAAAUACAUGGAUUACAGCCACCCGCCCACCCCCAAAACCAAGAUAAACGUAGUAAUCUGUAAUCUCAUCUUGUUUGUUAGAUCCUAUUAUUGAUACAUUGGUGCAACUAAAGCAUGUCAUCUCGGAUCUGUAAUAGUCCUUCAAGUAAGUCCAAGACCCAACCAAGAGUGGAUGAAGAAACUUGAGGUUGGAUAUAUAAACAGAAUUAAAUUAGACUGGAUUAGAAGACGACCAAAUCACAGCAAGCUCUUGUCGAUAUCCUAGUUGUUGAUGCUGUGUUGAUAUUAUUUACUGAAGGAGAAUGAGCAGCUGUCUACUGUAUAUAUAUGUUUUCAGUAUCUAAACCUGAUAUUUGACUUGUGCUAUCUGAAACUUCUGACGAACACAUUGAAUUUGUUACAUUAGCCCUACUUGUUUGUUUGUUUGUUUGUUAGCAAAAAGCAUGCUUGUAAUGCAUUCGAGUUUUCUAUUGAUAUUAGUGAAAGGAACUUGAACCCCAGUUUGAUGCUUUGUUUUCACUUGUCUGUAUUGCAUUUUAAUUGGAAAUUUUCAUUUUGCACACAGGAUGUAGCGAGCUGCAUUUUAUGAGACCCUCUGCAUUAUGUAUGAACUUUCACUCGAGUAAACAAAGGGCCUAUUAGCAUCUGGGGUACAACGUCGAUUUCAUGACUGUGCAGGUUUGACAUGAUAAAAUAAUUUAUGAACAAUCAAAGUCAAACUACCCUGGGAAUAUUGAUACGGUUGAAAGAAGUCCAUGAACUUGAAAGAGAGGGUGCUUCUAGAGUUUAAUUAUAAACUAUGUCUCCUCUUUGACUCCUAGUUAGCAUGAGAUAUUGAUGAGAGUCUCUAGCACACCAUGUGUUUUGACGAAAGAUGAAUGGAUUAUGUUGACUUGAAACUUUUACUUAA